CCCAUUGUGUAACAUGCUCCUCUUUGCCAUAUAAAUACAAGGACAUUUCGAGCAUCUCUCCAUCCCGCCCUCUCUUGAAACACCAUCCAAUCUUUCAGUCAUGAAGAUCUUUGCCUUCCUUACAGCUAUUCUCUUCUUUGUGCUGAUGGCUGCUCCAGCACUUGCGCAGACAUCAGAGCGCGAAUGUCGCAAGAUGGGUGGCAGCUGCUAUGAUGGCUAUUGCCCAGGAGGCACACAUCACAGGGGACAUUGUGGUAACCCAAGAAGAUGGUGCUGCAGAAGAUAGAUGGUGUCAGGGCAGAGCAUUAUGGACAUCCAUAGCCUGAACAUUUUCCGGCCUCUGCAGCCUCCUUCGCUAUGCAUUUGAGCUUUUAAUGGAGCUGAUUCUAUGGUGGAUGUUUUCCUUCUUCUGCUAAUUAAAAAUCUUGCAUUUGAGCACCUAC